AUUCCAGCUCUGUAAGCGUAUACCAAAGUUGUUGCAGUUAAAACGCUCGUAGUCGGACGUUGGCGGGCGCCUCGAGUCGGCCUCACGGUCGAUCUUGUUGGCGGCCGCCUUUGUGGAGGGGGGCUUAGGUCGGUGCUUUAUUGUCACUCCUUUGUCGCUGCCACCGUUUACUGUGAAAAAAUUAGAGUGUUCAAAGCGGGCGUUUGCCAUGAAUACAUUAGCAUGGAAUAAUAGAAUAGGACCUGGUCCUGUUUUGUUGGUUUGUGAGUAUCAGGUAAUGAUUAAGAGGGACGGUUGGGGGCAUUUGUAUUCCGGCGUCAGAGGUGAAAUUCUUGGAUUGCCGGAAGACAAACAGCUGCGAAAGCGUCUGCCAAGGACGUUUUCAUUG
rnacentral:rRNA from 1 species